rnacentral:misc_RNA from 1 species
ACACAGUUCUACUUUUAGAGAAUGUUUGCAAUCGCGCGCAAUGCGAUUAAUAAAGACAGUGUUUAUUUUGGAAUUGUAAUUUCAAUAUUUUUUAGAAUAUAAUAGCUCUUAUUAAUAUUAAUUAUAAUAAUUAAACGCGAAAUUAGGAUCAGUGGUUGUUUGUCGGUUUAUUUAAACGGACAGGUUACUAGUCUUUUAUUUUUCUUUCUUUUUAAAUAUAUAUAUGUAUUUUUUAAAUAUUCGUUUGCGAUAUUAAAGUCAGUGCUCAAGAGGACACAGCCUCUCCUGGAGCUCAAGAAUGUUCCUACAAUUUCUACUUCUUCCUGUUCUGUGAAGACCAUCUUAUAGUGCUUCAAAAGCCAAAAAU